GACGAACGCUGGCGGCGUGCUUAACACAUGCAAGUCGAACGGAAAGGCUCCAGCUUGCUGGAGUACUAGAGUGGCGAACGGGUGUGUAACACGUGGGUAAUCUGCCCUGCACUCUGGGAUAAGCCUGGGAAACUGGGUCUAAUACUGGAUAUGACCUUUCUCCUUAUGGGGUUUGGUGGAAAGUUUGUCGGUAUAGGAUGAGCCCGCGGCCUAUCAGCUUGUUGGUGGGGUGAUGGCCUACCAAGGCGACGACGGGUAGCCGGCCUGAGAGGGUGAUCGGCCACAUUGGGACUGAGAUACGGCCCAGACUCCUACGGGAGGCAGCAGUGGGGAAUAUUGCACAGUGGGCGGAAGCCUGAUGCAGCGACGCCGCGUGAGGGAUGACGGCCUUCGGGUUGUAAACCUCUUUCAGCAGGGACGAAGCGUAAGUGACGGUACCUGCAGAAGAAGCACCGGCUAACUAUGUG
rnacentral:rRNA from 1 species